GCCCCGGUAGCUCAGCAGGAUAGAGCAGCAGUUUCCUAAACUGGAGGUCAGAGGUUCGAAUCCUCUUCGGGGCAC
rnacentral:tRNA from 1 species